AUGCCCACGCUGUCUGGUGAGGAUAAAGAUGCAUGGGAGUUCCUCUCAAAGUUAGGUGAUCUUAGCCAAACUCUGAUUUUUGCCAAAAUUGAGAAUGUGGAGGGCUUGAACCAUUUUGAUGAGAUCCUGGAAGAAGCAUAUGGUAUAAUUCUGUCAAGAGGAAACUUUGGAAUUGAUCUUCAACCUGAAAAGGUUGUGCCACAUCAGCAUUUUGCCUAUGCCAUCUUUCUAAGAGAAGCAUUGUGUUCUUAUUUCAGAAGUCUGCUCUGCACAAGUGCAACAUGGCUGGAAAGCCCUGCUGUUGUUACUCAUGUUGUGGACUGUAUGACGGACAACCUAAGGCCUGCUCGCGCGGAGGCAACUGAUGUGGCAAAAAUGCGGUGCUGGACGAAUCCGAUGAAAGUUCUGAUUCCAAAAGCUCUGACUCUGAGGUAUUCAUUUACCUACCAAUUUCAAAAAGCCAGCUACCGAAGUGAAGAAUCCUGCGGGUUGCUACUGCACAAAAGAAAAACCAGGAAUUGGACGGCUCUAGCAGUGAUUCUGAUCGGCUAUCAGGAGGCCGACUGCAGGCCGACUGAGCCCAGUCGGCCCACAGCAGGCCGAUCGGCUAUCAGGAGGCCGACUGCAGGCCGGGCAGCCACGCGGCGGCCGUUGGUUGGUCGUGCCACGUCGCGAGGGGGGAGGCAGCGGCCUGUCGGCGUGAUGCGCCCCUGUCGGCGUCCCGCCCGCCGAUCGGCCACCUGGUGGCCGACAGGGUGCGGCCGACCUGACGCGCGUUGGCCAGCCCGCCCUUAUCCUCUCCUUCUCUCUUUCCUGCAUUAUUUCUUCUCCCUGCCCGCCCAUAUCCUAUCCUUCCUCCAUUAUUCUUCUCCCGUGGCUCAUUCUGCUGUGUUCCUCCUCUCUCUACAGAAAAAUGGCACACAUUUGUACACCUAA
rnacentral:rRNA from 1 species